rnacentral:misc_RNA from 1 species
GCAAACUUGGUCAUUUAGAGGAAGUAAAAGUCGUAACAAGGUUUCCGUAGGUGAACCUGCGGAAGGAUCAUUAUCGAGUAUCGGGGCCUCCGUGCCCCUACUCCCAUCCCAUGUUGACCUAUAACGUUGCUUUGGCGGGUCGGCGGGUUCGCCCGCCGCCGGGCGGCGCCUGGAGAGCGCCCGCCAGAGGAUCACACGAAACCCUUGGCAACCCUUGAGCGUCUGAGCACUUGAGAAUUGACUAAAACUUUCAACAACGGAUCUCUUGGUUCUGGCAUCGAUGAAGAACGCAGC